AAUCAACGCUGGCGGCGUGCCUAACACAUGCAAGUCGAACGCGAAAGGGGCUUCGGCCCUGAGUAGAGUGGCGAACGGGUGAGUAACACGUGGGUGAUCUACCUUCGAGUGGGGGAUAACGUUCCGAAAGGAGCGCUAAUACCGCAUGACGUUCUGGGUUUGAAGACCUGGAAACCAAAGCCGGGGACCGCAAGGCCUGGCGCUAGAAGAGGAGCCCGCGCCUGAUUAGCUAGUUGGUGAGGAAUGGCUCACCAAGGCAACGAUCAGUAGCCGGCCUGAGAGGGCGGACGGCCACACUGGGACUGAGACACGGCCCAGACUCCUACGGGAGCAGCAGUGGGGAAUUGUUCGCGAUGGGCGCAAGCCUGACGACGCAACGCCGCGUGGAGGAUGAAGGUCUUCGGAUUGUAAACUCCUGUUGACCGGGAAGAAUAGGCUUCGAGUGAAUAGCUCGAGGCAAUGACGGUA
rnacentral:rRNA from 1 species